rnacentral:lncRNA from 1 species
AUCAAAGUAAAAUCUAAUUUAAACACGAGGAAAUGCAAAAACACUUUUAAGAAAAAGCUUAGCUUUUUCUUAAAAACCUCCACAGUGGAUGAAGUCUUCACAUCCUCAGGCAGGUCAUUUCACAGGCGAGACCCAGUUUUCAGUCUGUACUUGCUCUAAAAAAGGUCUAAAUUUCUCAGGUUGUCCCUGGGUUAAAUCAUAAUCUUUCUCUCUGCCCACAGAUUGAACCAUCCAUCAUACAUCCGAGAAAAUCUCUCCUCCUCCAGUGACCCAUUCCCUCUCUUUGCUGUUUGCCAUUUCACUGCUAAAAAACAAUGAAUCAAUGAAAGAGAGAGGGAGGUGUGUGUGCAUCUCCUGCCACAGCUGUUGAGCUCCCCUCGUACGUGCUCACAUCCGGAGAGACGAGAAGGAGGAGGCGGGGAGGCAGACGUCCGUCCCAGGCUCUGCAGACUCACUAUUCUCUUUUCCUUUUUCGUGCUCCGAGUGUUUGGAAUGACCAGCUUUCCUGCCUGCGUCGUUUCCAUGUCAGCAUGGGAACUGCCGCGUCCAG